ensembl:ncRNA asRNA:CR45367 antisense RNA:CR45367
AAUGAGUAAAAUUUGGAAAACAACACACAGCAUCAAAAUAACUCAAAAUAUUAAAUAACACUUCGUUUUGGAAAAAAUUUAAAUAAAAUUUCGCUGUGUAAAUAAUUUCAGUCAGUAGACUUGUAACAAAAGUAAAAACAUUAACACCCCCUAAGUAGUUGGAAGAGCAACCAAUAUCAAGUUAACUAUCACUAUAAUGCUUAAGAUUCUGAAACUCCCGAAGGCACUAUGGGCAGACUUAUUUUGUUGGCUAAUUCAAAGCAUUUGAACAAAUACAAGGCUGAGCAGUGAUCCCACAGCCAUGCCACAGCUCAAAGCAGCUGCCAUUAUCGACGAAGCCAGCUCCUUUUCAUGCUGCUUUACGCGUUUAGGCGCCAUUAUAAGUAGUAUGUUCGUAAAAUAUCCGUUGGACAAGGCAAACAUUACCAUCAUCGCUAUGAAAGUAUAGUCGUGUUUUACCAAAACUGGCAGAAAGCUGUGUUCGCUGGAGUUUGAACAUAGAAAUAACGGAACAAACGCCAUGCGCACUACAAUAAAUAGUAGCGAAGUGUUCUGGUUUAAUGGUCGCUCCAUCCAGCCAGCAAACAGACGACCAAAAUAGUCACCGCAGUUAAAUAUCAGGUAGUUCACGACGGGCAGAAAAUAAACAUCUGUAAGAACACCGCAUAUGAGGCACGAACAAAAAGAAUAGGUUUUCUGUUUACCUGUCCACACGCUGUGGCCGUACUCUGACUGCAUAAGCACUGUAACUGCCGGAUAGACAGACAGGGUCGUGGUAUAGAGGAGCGCUAGGGAAAUGGCAUGCAGAUAGAUCUUCGACAUGACCUGACGCAAAAUAGGCUCAAGCGGCAAGCCCUCAGCGCUUCCAUUCCGGUUGUGCGAGGGCACUGCCCGGAUGACCUUGUACUUGUCGCCACCUUCGAGAUAAUACCUAAAGAAAGGCUUUCGAGCCAGGAUUACGUAGCACACAAUGCAAAGCAGGAUGAGCACUCCUCCCACAAUGAAGAAGAUGAAUGCAGUGGUAUUGGGACCCGUGUCGAAUGCAAGCACAAGAAUGAAGGCCAGGGCUGUGAGGAUACCACCAAGAGCCUGUCCGCUAACCACAGCGGUGAUAAACUCGGAGGGAAAUAGACCAGCGACUCCGUAGAGGGCUCCCGACAUUGUAGCCGCAGAUACUAUAUAUAAUAAAUAUUAAGUAAACACUCAAGGAGUACUUCAUGGUACCCACU